rnacentral:rRNA from 1 species
CCUACGGGCGGCAGCAGUGGGGGAUAUUGCACAAUGGGGGAAACCCUGAUGCAGCGACGCCGCGUGCGUGAAGAAGUAUUUCGGUAUGUAAAGCUCUAUCAUCAGGGAAGAAAAUGACAGUACCUGACCAAGAAGCCCCGGCUAACUACGUGCCAGCAGCCGCGGUAAAACUGAGGGGGCAAGCGUUAUCCGGAUUGACGGGGUUGAAAGGUAGCGUAAACGGUUAUGUAAGUCUGGAGUGAAAGCCCGGGGCCCAACCCCGGGACUGCUUUGGAAACUGUGUAACUGGAGUACAGGAGGGGCAGGCGGAAUGCCUGGUGUAGCGGUGAAAUGCGUAGAUAUCAGGAGGAACACCAGCGGCGAAGGCGGCCUGCUGGACUGAAACUGACGUUGAGGCUCGAAAGCGUGGGGAGCAAACAGGAUUAGAUACCCUUGUAGUC